ensembl:lncRNA
CGCGGGGCGUGCCUUUCCCUGGACACAUUUUUUCAAACCCGACCGCAUUGCACCAAGCCUGAUGCUUUGCACUAUGGAAUAUAAUAUUUAUUCAUUUAUUUAAUUUUGACUAAAACGGCAUUCCAUAUUGGACGCUCCGUGUCCUUUGCACUUAUUAUUUUUUUGUUUUAUUUAGACAGAAUAUAUUUUUUUACAUUCCGAUCCUGACAAAUAAAACGUUCUUUGAAAUUACUUUUAUUACUAUAUUGUAUUGUCAUUAUGUGGCAUAAAAUGGUCUGAAAAUUGCAAUAAUAUCGCAAUAAAUGUUGGUGCAAUAAUUGCACAACAAAAAUUUGAUAUCGUGACAGCCCUAAUUGUGAAAAUUUCACACACAUUUGAGAAUAGAAUACAACACUGAAAUGAUUAUGGCCUUAAAUAUAACACGCACGUGACUGUUAGAGACUGUAGAGGCGGUGAUUGUAGCCCUAGAUGAAAGCCUAGAUAAUUUCCUUCAGCGAAAUGCUUUACCCAGCAUAAGACCACUUUAAUACAAAGGCUUCAGGAUUGAAAAUGCUUGUUGCUGGCAAAAACGUUAAUGUUUGGUAUGAAUUUAACUUCGCUGUACAGGUACUUGUGUAUUAAUAUUCUCCUCUUUUUUGGUAUUUGGGUCGCUUCCCCCCUUAUGGUCAGAUGAAAGUUUGGAUCAAGACUGGAAACAGUGCUGGACGUUCUAGCCACUAGACUAGCUCCAGUCAUAAAUGAGUUUAGAUUGUCAGAGAAUAAGGCUUUUAAUUCAAAUGAAUACACAUAAUGUAAAUAUCUGUAACAUAUUCAAAGGCACACUGUUCUGUUAUUUCUUAGUGUACAGGAUGUAGGCUGACGUUUAUUGCUCUUCAAAGGAAUGCACUCUUUCCACUGGCACAUGUGCUUCAUGGAAAUUUGUGACUUUUUUUUGUAAUUGAAGAGGAAUUACUUGGGUAAUUGUUGUUGCUGAUCUUUUUGGGGGCGUGGUUUUGAAAGGGGAUGGCUAUCUGUUUUACUGUCUUGAUGAACUUGCUAAUUUUAGGGACUUGAGAAAUUGCUGCUACAUACUUGGGUUGGAAAAUAAAUUACAACAUUGGACUUUUUGCGGGUUGGAUCUUUUUUUAAAUUAUUUUUUGAAUCUAGCUUUUUUUCUUCUUUAAGUACUAUAAUAUAUUUUUUGUUUCCAGCCCGGCCACAUGACUUCUUUGAUGCUCAGACCAUGGAUGCUAUCCGCCAUCGAGCCAUCUGCCUCAACCUGGCAACACAUAUUGAGAGCCUGGGCAACGGACACAGUGUGGUCUUCCACAGCACGGUAAUAGCCCGGAGGAAAGAGGACUCUGGGAAAGUGAAGGUCUUGUUGCACUGGUCACCUGAAGACAUGUAAGUUGUGCUUCCCUCUUUUACCAUUGUCUUCAUUUACUCCUAACCCUAUCAAAAUAAUCUAGAUAUGGAUUCAAUUGUUUGUUCAUAACUCAAUUCCAGCUGCUGAAAGGAUCUGAGGCACAAAUAAAUGACAAGUUUUAAUUGACAAUUGAGUCUUAAAGGCAGAUAUAUUCAUCCUCCGGCUGAGACCAUAAAUGAAUGCCCUCAUAUAAUCAACAGGGUUCGUACGGUCAUGGAAAACCUGGAAAAGUCAUGGAAUUUCAAAAUGGUCAUUUCCAGGCCUGGAAAAGUCAUGGAAAGAAAUAAAAUCCUAAAAGUUUUGGAAAAGUCAUGGAAAUUUGUUAUAUUUCUAUGGUCAUGUGGUUCAUUUAAGAUUACGUUUGAAAUCAUUCAUAUGGUUUUAAAGAGACGCAGGACGCUCUGAUACUCGCAGCGCAAAUAAUUUGCACCGCGGCUGUGUAAACGCUCCUUAACUGAAAAGUUCGGUAGCUCAGGAAUCAUCCACCUUGUCAGGGAAGUGUAGAUUUAACCAUGGUUGGCUACAUAUGGAAAAGUGCAUCUCAUGAGUUACGACAAACAAAGACCCUGGGCGAGCAGAAUGUAAGUAAUGUGGAGGAACAUGAUAUAUUUCAAACAUGGGAGAGUGGCAUUAACGAGCUGUGCUAAAGGAAGCAGACAUCACUGCGCCGCCC